CGAGUUCCAGAGUACGGCCAGACACGUGAAACCUGGUCGGAAUACGGGGGGACCACCCUCCAACCCUAAAUACUACCCAGUGACCGAUAGCGUAUAGUACUGUGAAGGAAAGGUGAAAAGCACCCCGGGAGGGGAGUGAAAAAGAACCUGAAACCCUGUGCCUACAAGCACCUAGAGCACGUCAAUGUGUGAUAGGGUACUUUUUGUAGAACGGUCCGGCGAGCGAUUGUAUGCAGCAAGGUUAAGGACUUAAGGUCUGGAGCCGAAGCGAAAGCGAGUUUGAAAAGGGCGUUAAGUUGCAUACAAUGGGCCCGAAACCGGGUGACCUACCCAUGGUCAGGUUGAAGUGGAAGUAAAAUUCCAUGGAGGACCGAACCGACCUCCGUUGAAAAGGCGGCGGAUGAACUGUGGGUAGCGGAGAAAUUCCAAUCGAACCCGGAGAUAGCUGGUUCUCCCCGAAAUAGUUUUAGGACUAGCCUCAAGUUAGAUACCUGGAGGUAAAGCACUGAAUAGCCUAGCGGCCGAGAGGUUAGCGAAGCUUAUCAAACUCAGAAUGCCAGAGUAUUGAUGCUUGGGAGUCAGACAGUGUCAGAUAAAUGUCAUUGUCAAAAGGGAAACAGCCCAGAUCUACAGCUAAGGUCCCAAAGUCAGGUUAAGUGGAAAACGAUGUGAAGAUACGCAGACAACCAGGAUGUUGGCUCAGAAGCAGCCACACAUUCAAAGAGUGCGUAAUAGCUCACUGGUCGAGCGUCUUUGCGCGGAGAAUUUAACGGGGCUAAACCUGACACCGAAGCUUAGGCAAUACAGCAAUGUAUUGGGUAGGGGAGCGUUGUAUACGCGGUGAAACAGUAGCGCAAGCGGCUGUGGAGUGUAUAGAAGUGAGAAUGCCGGAAUGAGUAGCGCGAAUGCAGUGAGAAUCUGCAUGGCCGAAAGCCUCAGGUUUUUGGAGGAAGGUUCGUCCGCUCCAAGUUAGUCGGGAGCUAAGGUGAGGCCUAACGGCGUAGCCGAUGCACAGACGGUAGAGAUUCCGUCACCACCAAAAGAGUUAAACACAGGGACACAUUUGAAGUCUCGGAGCCGGGUGUUGGUUCCGGUAGCGAUCGAGGGAAAUUAGUACCGAAGUCCGGGAUGGAAGAUGGCGAGAAAAGCUGUGUGUAUUUCUGCGGUGCCCGUACCGCAAACCGACACAGGUAGGUAGGAAGAAGAUUCUAAGGCCAACGGGAGAAGGGUUGUUAAGGAACUCGGCAAAUUGACCCCGUAACUUCGGGAGAAGGGGUGCUCCAGAGAUGGAGCCGCAGAGAAUCGGCCCAAGCAACUGUUUACCAAAAACACAGGUUUGUGCUAAAUCGAAAGAUGACGUAUACGAGCUGACGCCUGCCCGGUGCUGGAAGGUUAAGAGGAGAUGUGCAAGCAUUGAAUCGAAGCCCCAGUGAACGGCGGCCGUAACUAUAACGGUCCUAAGGUAGCGAAAUUCCUUGUCAGGUAAG
rnacentral:rRNA from 1 species